rnacentral:lncRNA from 11 species
CCAGCGGGAAGGUAACGGUGCUCCAUGCAGUCAUGCCGGCCACAUGACCUUGGAGAUGUCUAUGGACAGCGCUGGCUCUUCGGCCUAGAAAUGGAGAUGAACACCAACCCCCAGACUCGGUCACGACUGGACUUUACCUUUAAAUAUAUUGGAACUUUUGUGAUUAAGAGAUUGGCUAAUGCAGUGACUGCUGAUUUGAAUCUUCCUAAAACCUAUAAACAUUUGCAUAUUAUUUUUCAUUUUAGCUUGUUGAAACCUGCAGCGGAGUCCAGUCCACCUCCGCCUUUGAUGAUUGAUGCUGCAGCAGCAUAGCUGCUCCAUUUUGGAGAGGAGAUGGGUUCAUCAGCCUUGAAGCUUUCAUCAUCUGCCUGCCCUGUUUCCCCAAAAAUAAGUCAUCCCCAGAAAAUAAGACCUAGUAGAGGUUUUGCUGAAUUGCUAAAUAUAAGACCUCCCCUGAAAGUAAGACCUAGUAAAGUUUGUGUUUGGAAGCAUGCCCGCUGAACAGAACACCAGAGCAUGCAGGAUCGGUAAAUGUACGUACCAUAGAUUGUUGAACAUGGAAAUAAUGGUAGUAACAAGACAUUCUUGAUAGGAUUCACAGUUUGUCUGGUUAUGCUGGUUUGUGAUGACAACUACUGUACAGUAUAUAAUAAAUGUUCUUUUUUUGUUCAACAAUAAAUGUGAAUUCUUCUUCAUGGAAAAAUAAGACAUCCCCUGAAAAUAAGACCUAGC